rnacentral:rRNA from 1 species
AAGUCUGAUGUGAAAGCCCACGGCUCAACCGUGGAGGGUCAUUGGAAACUGGAAAACUUGAGUGCAGAAGAGGAAAGUGGAAUUCCAUGUGUAGCGGUGAAAUGCGCAGAGAUAUGGAGGAACACCAGUGGCGAAGGCGACUUUCUGGUCUGUAACUGACGCUGAUGUGCGAAAGCGUGGGGAUCAAACAGGAUUAGAUACCCUGGUAGUCCACGCCGUAAACGAUGAGUGCUAAGUGUUAGGG